rnacentral:rRNA from 1 species
UGGGGAAUAUUGGACAAUGGGCGAAAGCCUGAUCCAGCCAUGCCGCGUGUGUGAAGAAGGUCUUCGGAUUGUAAAGCACUUUAAGUUGGGAGGAAGGGCAGUAAGCGAAUACCUUGCUGUUUUGACGUUACCGACAGAAUAAGCACCGGCUAACUCUGUGCCAGCAGCCGCGGUAAUACAGAGGGUGCAAGCGUUAAUCGGAAUUACUGGGCGUAAAGCGCGCGUAGGUGGUUCGUUAAGUUGAAUGUGAAAGCCCCGGGCUGAACCUGGGAACUGCAUCGAAAACUGGCGAGCUAGAGUAGGGCAGAGGGUGGUGGAAUUUCCUGUGUAGCGGUGAAAUGCGUAGAUAUAGGAAGGAACACCAGUGGCGAAGGCGACCACCUGGGCUCAUACUGACACUGAGGUGCGAAAGCGUGGGGAGCAAACAGG